GGUCGCGUAGCUCAGUUGGUAGAGCGCUCGGCUUACAUCCGAAAGGUCACAGGUUCGAGUCCUGUCGCGACCACGA
rnacentral:tRNA from 1 species